GGUCAAGUGAAGAAGCGCAUACGGUGGAUGCCUUGGCAGUCAGAGGCGAUGAAAGACGUGGUAGCCUGCGAAAAGCUUCGGGGAGUCGGCAAACAGACUGUGAUCCGGAGAUGUCUGAAUGGGGGAACCCAGCCAUCACAAGAUGGUUAUCUUACACUGAAUACAUAGGUGUAAGAGGCGAACCAGGGGAACUGAAACAUCUAAGUACCCUGAGGAAAAGAAAUCAACCGAGAUUCCCUUAGUAGUGGCGAGCGAACGGGGACCAGCCCUUAAGUUGUAUUGAGAUUAGCGGAACGCUCUGGAAAGUGCGGCCAUAGUGGGUGAUAGCCCUGUACGCGAAAAUCCCUUUGCAAUGAAAUCGAGUAGGACGGGGCACGAGAAACCUUGUCUGAAUAUGGGGGGACCAUCCUCCAAGGCUAAAUACUACUGACUGACCGAUAGUGAACCAGUACCGUGAGGGAAAGGCGAAAAGAACCGCGGAGAGCGGAGUGAAAUAGAUCCUGAAACCGUAUGCGUACAAGCAGUGGGAGCCCACUUUGUUGGGUGACUGCGUACCUUUUGUAUAAUGGGUCAGCGACUUAUUUUCAGUGGCGAGCUUAACCGAAUAGGGGAGGCGUAGCGAAAGCGAGUCUUAAUAGGGCGUCUAGUCGCUGGGAAUAGACCCGAAACCGGGCGAUCUAUCCAUGGGCAGGUUGAAGGUUGGGUAACACUAACUGGAGGACCGAACCGACUACCGUUGAAAAGUUAGCGGAUGACCUGUGGAUCGGAGUGAAAGGCUAAUCAAGCUCGGAGAUAGCUGGUUCUCCUCGAAAGCUAUUUAGGUAGCGCCUCAUGUAUCACUGUAGGGGGUAGAGCACUGUUUCGGCUAGGGGGUCAUCCCGACUUACCAAACCGAUGCAAACUCCGAAUACCUACAAGUGCCGAGCAUGGGAGACACACGGCGGGUGCUAACGUCCGUCGUGAAAAGGGAAACAACCCAGACCGUCAGCUAAGGUCCCAAAGUCAUGGUUAAGUGGGAAACGAUGUGGGAAGGCUUAGACAGCUAGGAGGUUGGCUUAGAAGCAGCCACCCUUUAAAGAAAGCGUAAUAGCUCACUAGUCGAGUCGGCCUGCGCGGAAGAUGUAACGGGGCUCAAACCAUGCACCGAAGCUACGGGUAUCACCUUUGGUGAUGCGGUAGAGGAGCGUUCUGUAAGCCUGUGAAGGUGAGUUGAGAAGCUUGCUGGAGGUAUCAGAAGUGCGAAUGCUGACAUGAGUAACGACAAUGGGUGUGAAAAACACCCACGCCGAAAGACCAAGGUUUCCUGCGCAACGUUAAUCGACGCAGGGUUAGUCGGUCCCUAAGGCGAGGCUGAAAAGCGUAGUCGAUGGAAAACAGGUUAAUAUUCCUGUACUUCUGGUUAUUGCGAUGGAGGGACGGAGAAGGCUAGGCCAGCCUGGCGUUGGUAGUCCAGGUUUAAGGUGGUAGGCUGAGAUCUUAGGUAAAUCCGGGAUCUUAAGGCCGAGAGCUGAUGACGAGUGUUCUUUUAGAACAUGAAGUGGUUGAUGCCAUGCUUCCAAGAAAAGCUUCUAAGCUUCAGGUAACCAGGAACCGUACCCCAAACCGACACAGGUGGUUGGGUAGAGAAUACCAAGGCGCUUGAGAGAACUCGGGUGAAGGAACUAGGCAAAAUGGCACCGUAACUUCGGGAGAAGGUGCGCCGGUGAGGGUGAAGCAUUUACUGCGUAAGCCCACGCCGGUCGAAGAUACCAGGCCGCUGCGACUGUUUAUUAAAAACACAGCACUCUGCAAACACGAAAGUGGACGUAUAGGGUGUGACGCCUGCCCGGUGCCGGAAGGUUAAUUGAUGGGGUUAGCGCAAGCGAAGCUCUUGAUCGAAGCCCCGGUAAACGGCGGCCGUAACUAUAACGGUCCUAAGGUAGAGAAAUUCCUUGUCGGGUAAGUUCCGACCUGCACGAAUGGCGUAACGAUGGCGGCGCUGUCUCCACCCGAGACUCAGUGAAAUUGAAAUCGCUGUGAAGAUGCAGUGUAUCCGCGGCUAGACGGAAAGACCCCGUGAACCUUUACUAUAGCUUUGCACUGGACUUUGAAUUUGCUUGUGUAGGAUAGGUGGGAGGCUUUGAAGCGUGGACGCCAGUCUGCGUGGAGCCAACCUUGAAAUACCACCCUGGCAACUUUGAGGUUCUAACUCAGGUCCGUUAUCCGGAUCGAGGACAGUGUAUGGUGGGUAGUUUGACUGGGGCGGUCUCCUCCUAAAGAGUAACGGAGGAGUACGAAGGUGCGCUCAGACCGGUCGGAAAUCGGUCGUAGAGUAUAAAGGCAAAAGCGCGCUUGACUGCGAGACAGACACGUCGAGCAGGUACGAAAGUAGGUCUUAGUGAUCCGGUGGUUCUGUAUGGAAGGGCCAUCGCUCAACGGAUAAAAGGUACUCCGGGGAUAACAGGCUGAUACCGCCCAAGAGUUCAUAUCGACGGCGGUGUUUGGCACCUCGAUGUCGGCUCAUCACAUCCUGGGGCUGAAGCCGGUCCCAAGGGUAUGGCUGUUCGCCAUUUAAAGUGGUACGCGAGCUGGGUUUAGAACGUCGUGAGACAGUUCGGUCCCUAUCUGCCGUGGACGUUUGAGAUUUGAGAGGGGCUGCUCCUAGUACGAGAGGACCGGAGUGGACGAACCUCUGGUGUUCCGGUUGUCACGCCAGUGGCAUUGCCGGGUAGCUAUGUUCGGAAAAGAUAACCGCUGAAAGCAUCUAAGCGGGAAACUUGCCUCAAGAUGAGAUCUCACUGGAACCUAGAGUUCCCUGAAGGGCCGUCGAAGACUACGACGUUGAUAGGUUGGGUGUGUAAGCGCUGUGAGGCGUUGAGCUAACCAAUACUAAUUGCCCGUGAGGCUUGACCAU
rnacentral:rRNA from 1 species